rnacentral:rRNA from 1 species
GAUCCUGACUCAGGAUGAACGCUAGCUACAGGCUUAACACAUGCAAGUCGAGGGGCAGCAUGGUCUUAGCUUGCUAAGGCCGAUGGCGACCUGCGCACGGGUGAGUAACGCGUAUCCAACCUGCCUUACACUCUUGGACAGCCUUCUGAAAGGGAGAUUAAUACAAGAUGUUAUCAUGAGUAAGCAUUUUCACAUGAUUAAAGGUUUACCGGUGUAAGAUGGGGAUGCGUU